CGUGUAGGCGGUGGCGUUAGUCGGGUGUGAAAGCCCCUGGCUUAACCAGGGAGGGUCAUCCGAUACUGCGCCGCUUGAGGGCAGCAGAGGAAAGUAGAAUUCCCGGUGUAGUGGUGAAAUGCGUAGAUAUCGGGAGGAAUACCGGUGGCGAAGGCGGCUUUCUGGGCUGUUUCUGACGCUGAGGCGCGAAAGCGUGGGGAGCGAACUGAAUUAGAUACUCAGGUAGUCCACGCCGUAAACGAUGGACACUAGGUGUGGGGGGUAUCGACCCCCUCCGUGCCGAAGCUAACGCAUUAAGUGUCCCGCCUGGGGACUACGGCCGCAAGGCUAAA
rnacentral:rRNA from 1 species